GCCGAAGGCUUUGAAGGCUUUAGAGAGCACUAGCUUCCCAAGCUAAGGGUCACGAGUUCGAGUCUCGCUUACCGCUCCA
rnacentral:tRNA from 1 species